UACGUAGGGGGCAAGCGUUGUCCGGAAUCAUUGGGCGUAAAGCGCGUGUAGGCGGUCCGGUAAGUCCGCUGUAAAAGUCGGGGGCUCAACCCUCGGAUGCCGGUGGAUACUGUCGGGCUUGAGUACGGAAGAGGCGAGUGGAAUUCCUGGUGUAGCGGUGAAAUGCGUAGAUAUCUGGAGGAACACCGGUGGCGAAGGCGGCAUCCUGGACCGGCAUUGACGCUAAAGCGCGAAAGCCAGGGGAGCAAACGGG
rnacentral:rRNA from 1 species